rnacentral:rRNA from 1 species
AGCGAACGCUGGCGGCAGGCCUAACACAUGCAAGUCGAACGGACCCUUCGGGGUUAGUGGCGGACGGGUGAGUAACACGUGGGAACGUGCCUUUAGGUUCGGAAUAGCUCCUGGAAACGGGUGGUAAUGCCGAAUGUGCCCUUCGGGGGAAAGAUUUAUCGCCUUUAGAGCGGCCCGCGUCUGAUUAGCUAGUUGGUGAGGUAAUGGCUCACCAAGGCGAAGAUCAGUAGCUGGUCUGAGAGGAUGACCAGCCACAUUGGGACUGAGAAACGGCCCAAACUCCUACGGGAGGCAGCAGUGGGGAAGCUUGCGCAAUGGGCGAAAGCUUGACGCAGCCAUGCCGCGUGGAUGAUGAAGGUCUUAUGAUUGUAAAAUCCUUUCACCGGUGAAGAUAAUGACUGUAGCCGGAGAAGAAGCCCCGGCUAACUUCGUGCCAGCCGCCGCGGUAA